CAGUGCCCGAAACCUGCGUAAAGUACACAUGUGGUGCGCCGUCAGCCCCCACGUCAUCGACGUGCUCUGCGACAAAUGCCGGAGACUCGCAGAUCUCCGCCUGCACGCCGCCCAGAAGCUUGGCUAUUCGACGGUGAAGAACUCGGUCGAGCAGUGCUCCGGGAUACACGUGCUGACGGCACCCGAUGAGCUACUGAAGACCGAGAAAUUUUCAGAGGCGGUGUCGCGUCUGCAGCACCUCCGUGUGCUGUGUCUGCAAGAGAGAUACGUGGGGACGACUUGCGUCCUGCGUCCUUGUGUGCUGAGACCUUUGGGUGACGGGUGCCCCCGACUGGUCGAGAUUGACUUCGGACGUAUGUCUGUCGAUACGGAUGAUCUGAAGUACUUUCUGAAUGCCAAGAAGAACACCCUAAAGUGCUUACGAAUAAAGUGGUCGGUGGGUGGAACGAGGCACGUCAUACCGUUGCUGCCGGUAUAUGCCGACAGCUUGGAACGUCUGGAACUUUAUGAGUACGACAUAGUCCGCAACUCGGCCAGAGAGGCGUUCACUACCGUCGGAAGCUUGAAGCACUUGCGGGAACUCAGGAUGUCCGUCCCCGAUCGAAUACCGCCCGGAACAGCUGCUCUGGCUUUUACGAAUAGAGGACUGCCACAACUGAAAGUGCUGGAUCUACCACACGGAUACGGUGUGGAAGAUAACACAGUAAUUGCCAUCAGCCACGGAUGUCCCGGUUUGCGGCAGCUCUCCGUCACUCACGCUACGAAGCUGUCGCCUGCUGCCUUCUCGGAGAUCGACCGUCUAGAACAUCUUGAAAUACUAGAUGUGACAGGUUGUAGCAGACUCGGCGGAGGCCUAUUCCCCUGCCUCGUCGGGCUACCGCGACUUCACACGUUGCGAAUGGGUACCAUGUAUUUCGGUACCACGUAUUUUACAGAGUUGCAGCCAGGUGUGAGCAGCAUCCUCAAAUUGUCAGGUUUGCGCUGUCUGACAUUCGAUUAUUCGGAUGUUACUGGAGUGCCUUUUGAUAAGUUUCCGGAGAAUCUCAUCAGUCUCAGAGCUCAUAUCAAAAAGGGGUGAAUUUUCUCUGCUCGUGAGAAACUUCGCUGUGUUUAUUCGUAUGAAAUCGGAGAAUGUUCUUCAUGUUGAGCAAGGUUACCCACUCAUUUACUCAAGCUGAGAACACAGUCAGGGAGCUGAGUGUCGAAGGGUGCCCAGGUGACCCCAGAGCCACAGACGGGCUGACCGAGCAGAUGCCCAAUCUCGUAAUCCGCGGCACGGUCCACGCUGAGCUACAGCCUUUCUACUUCGAGGCACUCGAGGACGU
rnacentral:misc_RNA from 1 species